CCCCUCCACCUUUCGGCACGAAAGCGAGAGAACGGAGAGCCAAAUCCACACGUAACGCCCACUUUCAUCCUCCCUUUGUCCCUCUGAUGCAUCAUUUCCCUACUUUAGAGUCGUGGACGAAGGAAACCAGCACGAAUGUUGAAACUGCUCCACAACCUUGGAUGCCAUGGGAACUGUGUAAACUACUCUUGCUAGCUCAAUGGAGAACAAAACCAACUGUUAAUCCAGAAUUCAGCUGUCAACCUCAAAUUGACGCAAUUUGAGGAUCAUCUCCAGCAUGAAUCUUGAGGAGCCAAGGGGAGGGCAAAAGAAGAGGAUAGGUUGACGAUCCAAAUAUCCAAGUAAAGCCUGACCUUUGUUGGGAGUGUUUCCGAUACCUAAGUCAGAGUGAGUCCUAAAAUAAGAUUUAAAGAUGGUAUGCAGAGAGACAUGUAUAAUUUUGAGUUCUAUUUUAUAGUCGAGAAUUUCUAACCGUUUAAGGAUAGGACGAAUAUUUUUUGAAUAUUUUUCGGUUUCGAUUUGUGCUAAUGUGACAAAUUUGGGUUAUUUUCAUUUUUGUUAA